UAAUAAGUAGCAUAAUAUGCAUUUAGUUUCGACCUAAAAUAUGAUAACACUAUCCUUAUUAU
rnacentral:tRNA from 1 species